CCUACGGGAGACAGCAGUGAGGAAUAUUGGUCAAUGGACGCAAGUCUGAACCAGCCAUGCCGCGUGCAGGAAGACGGCUCUAUGAGUUGUAAACUGCUUUUGUACGAGGGUAAACGCAGAUACGCGUAUCUGUCUGAAAGUAUCGUACGAAUAAGGAUCGGCUAACUCCGUGCCAACAGCCGCGGUAAUACGGAGGAUUCAAGCGUUAUCCGGAUUUAUUGGGUUUAAAGGGUGCGUAGGCGGUCGGAUAAGUUAGAGGUGAAAUCCCGAGGCUCAACUUCGGAAUUGCCUCUGAUACUGUCCGGCUAGAGAGUAGUUGCGGUAGGCGGAAUGUAUGGUGUAGCGGUGAAAUGCUUAGAGAUCAUACAGAACACCGAUUGCGAAGGCAGCUUACCAAGCUACUUCUGACGUUGAGGCACGAAAGCGUGGGGAGCAAACAGGAUUAGAUACCCGAGUAGUC
rnacentral:rRNA from 1 species